rnacentral:rRNA from 1 species
AGUAACGCGUAUGCAACCUACCUAGUCAGAGGGGAAUAACCCGGCGAAAGUCGGACUAAUACCGCAUAAAACAGGGGCACCGCAUGGUGAUAUUUGUUAAAGAAAUUCGCUGAUAGAUGGGCAUGCGUUCCAUUAGGUAGUGGUGAGGUAACGGCUCACCAAGCCGACGAUGGAUAGGGGAACUGAGAGGUUGGUCCCCCCACACUGGUACUGAGACACGGACCAGACUCCUACGGGAGGCAGCAGUGAGGAAUAUUGGUCAAUGGGGCGGGAGCCUGAACCAGCCAAGUCGCGUGAAGGAAGAAGGAUCUAUGGUUCGUAAACUUCUUUUGCAGGGGGAAUAAAGUGCAGGACGUGUCCUGUUUUGUAUGUACCCUGAGAAUAAGGAUCGGCUAACUCCGUGCCAGCCGCCGC